rnacentral:sRNA from 2 species
UCGGUUCGUCCGAGAAGCCUUAAAACUAUGACGACACAUUCACCUUGAACCAAGGGUUCAAGGGUUACAGCCUGCGGCGGCAUCUCGGAGAUUCC